GGCGGAUUGCCAGAGUGGUCAAUUGGGCUUGACUGUAAAUCAAGUGUUCUUUAGCUACGCAGGUUCGAACCCUGCAUCCGCCA
rnacentral:tRNA from 1 species